UACGGAGGGGGCUAGCGUUGUUCGGAAUUACUGGGCGUAAAGCGCACGUAGGCGGACUGUUAAGUCGGGGGUGAAAUCCUGGGGCUCAACCUCAGAAUUGCCUCCGAUACUGGCAGUCUCGAGUGCGGGAGAGGUGAGUGGAAGUUCCCAGUGAUAGAGGUGAAAUUUCGUAAGAUAUUGGGAAGAACACCAGUGGCGAAGGC
rnacentral:rRNA from 1 species